UGAAUCGCAUGGUUUAAUAAUCAAAUCUACGGAGGUUACAGAUGGGCAUGCGUGCCAUUAGUUAGAUGGUGGGGUAACGGCUCACCAUGACAUCGAUGGCUAGGGGUUCUGCAAGGAAGAUCCCCCACACUGGUACUGAGACACGGACCAGACUCCGACGGGAGGCAGCAGUGAGGAAUAUUGGUCAAUGGAGGCAACUCUGAACCAGCCAAGCCGCGUGAAGGAAGACUGUUCUAUGAAUUGUAAACUUCUUUUGUGGUAGAGUAAAUAUAGCUACGUGUAGUUAUUUGCAAGUAUACCAUGAAUAAGCAUCGGCUAACUCCGUGCCAGCAGCCGCGGUAAUACGGAGGAUGCAGGCGUUAUCCGGAUUUAUUAGGUUUAAAGGGUGUCUAGGCUGCCACAUAAGUCAGGGGUGAAAGUCGGUUGCUCAACAAUCGAAUUGCCUUUGAAACUGUGUGGCUCGAAUAUAGAUGAGGUAGGCGGAAUGUGUAGUGUAGCGGUGAAAUGCAUAGAUAUUACACAGAACACCAAUUGCGAAGGCAGCUUACCAAACUAUUAUUGACGCUGAAGCACGAAAGCGUGGGUAGCGAACAGGAUUAGAUACCCUGGUAGUCCACGCCGUAAACUAUGCUCACUCGCUGUUGGCAAUACAUGGUCAGCGGCUAAGGGAAACCGAUAAGUGAGCCACCUGGGGAGUACGAUCGCAAGAUUGAAACUCAAAGGAAUUGACGGGGGCCCGCACAAGCGGAGGAACAUGUGGUUUAAUUCGAUGAUACGCGAGGAACCUUACCUGGGCUUAAAUGUAGAGUGCAUUACGUAGAAAUAUGUAUUUCCUUCGGGACUCUUUACAAGGUGCUGCAUGGUUGUCGUCAGCUCGUGCCGUGAGGUGUCGGGUUAAGUCCCAUAACGAGCGCAACCCCUAUUGUUAGUUACCAGCGCGUAAAGGCGGGGACUCUAGCGAAACUGCCGGUGUAAACCGCGAGGAAGGUGGGGAUGACGUCAAAUCAGCACGGCCCUUAUGUCCAGGGCUACACACGUGUUACAAUGGCCGGUACAGUGGGCAGCCACAUAGCGAUAUGGAGCUAAUCUCAAAAGCCGGUCUCAGUUCGGAUUGGAGUCUGCAACCCGACUCCAUGAAGGUG
rnacentral:rRNA from 1 species